rnacentral:rRNA from 1 species
GGGUGGAAUUUAAACCUUCUUUAAAUAAGAAAAAGCGAUAUAUAAAGAUUUAGAGGCCACUAAGAUUUGGAAUUAAACCAGGAUUAGAUACCCUGUUAUACCAAUUUUAGAAAAUUUUACUUGGGUAGUAAUGAGCUAUGGGCUUGAAAUCUAAAGAAUUUGGCGGUAUUUUAGUCUCAUUAGAGGAACCUGUUUCUUAAACGAUACACCACGCAGAAUCUUACUUUACUUUGUUCUCAGUUUGUAUACCGCCAUAAUUUGGUCAUAUUUUAAAAUACUCUCCACAAUAGAUAGAUUUCUAAUAUCUUAGGUCAAGGUGCAGCUUAUAGUAAAGGGCUUAAUGGGUUACAAUGUAAUUUUAUAUAAACGGAAAUUGAAUUUUACAUUUAUUAGAAGGCGGAUUUAAUGGUAAUUUUGCUUUAAUACGACAGAAUGAUUUUAGCUCUAAAAUAUGUACAUAUCGCCCGUCGCUCUCAUUAAUAAAGUGAGAUA